rnacentral:rRNA from 1 species
UACCAGCACCCCGAGUGGUCGGGACGUUUAUUGGGCCUAAAGCAUCCGUAGCCGGUUCUACAAGUCUUCCGUUAAAUCCAGAUGCUUAACAGAUGGGCUGCGGAAGAUACUAUGGAGCUAGGAGGCGGGAGAGGCAAGCGGUACUCGAUGGGUAGGGGUAAAAUCCGUUGAUCCAUUGAAGACCACCAGUGGCGAAGGCGGCUUGCCAGAACGCGCUCGACGGUGAGGGAUGAAAGCUGGGGGAGCAAACCGG